GAUGAACGCUGGCGGCGUGCCUAAUACAUGCAAGUCGAGCGAACAGACGAGGAGCUUGCUCCUCUGACGUUAGCGGCGGACGGGUGAGUAACACGUGGAUAACCUACCUAUAAGACUGGGAUAACUUCGGGAAACCGGAGCUAAUACCGGAUAAUAUAUUGAACCGCAUGGUUCAAUAGUGAAAGACGGUUUUGCUGUCACUUAUAGAUGGAUCCGCGCCGCAUUAGCUAGUUGGUAAGGUAACGGCUUACCAAGGGAACGAUGCGUAGACGACCUGAGGGGGUGAUCGGCCACACUGGAACUGAGACACGGUCCAGACUCCUACGGGAGGCAGCAGUAGGGAAUCUUCCGCAAUGGGCGAAAGCUUGACGGAGCAACGCCGCGUGAGUGAUGAAGGUCUUCGGAUCGUAAAACUCUGUUAUUAGGGAAGAACAAAUGUGUAAGUAACUAUGCACGUCUUGACGGUACCUAAUCAGAAAGCCACGGCUAACUACGUG
rnacentral:rRNA from 1 species